GUCCGAGGAUCCAGGUUCAGCUACUAAGAAACGCACAUCAAAGAUGAAGAGCCAAAGUAAAUGUGAUGAAAUGAACUCCGAUGUUCCAGAUGCAGCAUCCAAGACAUCCUGCCGCAAGAGAAGACCAUGGAGUCAAGAAGAAAUCUGCGCUGUUGAGAAGACCCUGAUGAAAUUUAUCACUACAGGCAGAACUCCUGGGAAGGCAGACUGCGUUU